CGACGCUCUUGCUGUGCCCAGUUCUCAAAAGUAGAAGGGGAUCUCAGCACACCAUGGCAUGGUUCUGAUCUGGGCUCCCUUCUAGAUUGGAAUCGCAACUUGCAUUAUCGGGAUGUCCUGCUGGAUGACGGCUUGAAACACUUGAGAAGUGCUGGAGUUACAGGUGUGUCUACAGGGAGGACUUUCCCAGCUCCUGAGCUGGCUGGUGCACACCAGCCCGGCUCCCAUCGCAGGGGUACUCCGAGAGGAAAGAACACAGCUACAGGACACCGGAAGCCCCAUGAGCCAUCCAAAAUCAGUCAGCAAAUGCCGAAGGAAAUGCUGCAGGGAGGGCAAGAAGUGGACAGAGCGGCUGUGCUGAAGGCAGCAUUUCCCAGAGGAAGCAGUGGCUCAUGGGCAGCCUCUGCUGCAGGAAGGGAGGCCA